rnacentral:rRNA from 1 species
AUGAUGGAAGAGCUCGCCAUACAUGAGGACCUGUGCUCAGCUCUGGAGAUGUUGAACAUGGCAACCAAGUGCGCAAGAGCUGAAGAAGGAUGCCUUUCCCUCCUCAAGCUUCUGAAGGCUGACCCAGAAGACAAGAAGGCCAAGGCCAAGGACUUGAAGCGCAAGGGUCCAGCUGUGCUCGCGGUCGAACCUGAGAUGAAGCACGACUGCGACCACCCGGAGUCAUCCAAGGGCAGCCGCCCAUUUUGCGUGUUUCAUAACUUACACAACCACACCACCAAUGACUGCCGAGAGCUCAGGGCCAUCCGCGACGGGCGCCUCGGUCGUUGCCCCGAGCGCAACGACCGAGACUACGGUCGUGGAGGAGGUUGA